CUUUGUUUUGUCUUUAUAUAAUACUGUAAGAAGUCAUGUACCACACAUUGUCAAACCUGAAGAAGUGUAUCUUCCUGCAAUCUGGGCUCCAGACCUGGAGAUUGAAGUUCCUAAAGGUUGAUGUUUAUCAAGCUUGUGACCUUAUUGCAUGGUGUUAUUUUUUUACAUUUAUAUAUCUAAUACACAUUUGCACAUCUGUAAACAUAAAUUUAAUAUUUUGU